AUUGAACGCUGGCGGCAGGCCUAACACAUGCAAGUCGAGCGGUAGAGAGGUGCUUGCAUCUCUUGAGAGCGGCGGACGGGUGAGUAAUGCCUAGGAAUCUGCCUAGUGGUGGGGGAUAACGUUCGGAAACGGACGCUAAUACCGCAUACGUCCUACGGGAGAAAGCGGGGGAUCUUCGGACCUCGCGCCAUUAGAUGAGCCUAGGUCGGAUUAGCUAGUUGGUGAGGUAAUGGCUCACCAAGGCGACGAUCCGUAACUGGUCUGAGAGGAUGAUCAGUCACACUGGAACUGAGACACGGUCCAGACUCCUACGGGAGGUAGCAGUGGGGAAUAUUGGACAAUGGGCGAAAG
rnacentral:rRNA from 1 species